GCUGGGCAUGGUGGCUCAUGCCUGUAAUCCCAGCACUUUGGGAGGCUGAGGUGGGAGGAUUGCUAGAAGCCAGGAGUUCAAGACCAGCCUGGCUAACAUGGCAAAACCCUGUCUCUA
rnacentral:SRP_RNA from 1 species